GCCUUCGUGGUGUAGUGGUUAGCACGCUCGACAAGCAAACGAGAGGUCAGUGGUUCGAAUCCAGGCAAAGGUG
rnacentral:tRNA from 1 species